rnacentral:rRNA from 1 species
GGCUACUACGUGCCAGCAGCCGCGGUAAUACGUAGGGUGCGAGCGUUAAUCGGAAUUACUGGGCGUAAAGCGUGCGCAGGCGGUUUUGUAAGACAGGCGUGAAAUCCCCGGGCUUAACCUGGGAACUGCGUUUGUGACUGCAAGGCUAGAGUACGGCAGAGGGGGGUGGAAUUCCACGUGUAGCAGUGAAAUGCGUAGAGAUGUGGAGGAACACCAAUGGCGAAGGCAGCCCCCUGGGUCGAUACUGACGCUCAUGCACGAAAGCGUGGGUAGCAAACAGGAUUAGAUACCCUGGUAGUCCACGCCCUAAACGAUGUCAACUAGGUGUUGGGAGGGUAAAACCUUUUAGUGCG